rnacentral:rRNA from 1 species
GAUGAACGCUGGCGGCGUGCCUAAUACAUGCAAGUCGAGCGAACAGACGAGGAGCUUGCUCCUCUGACGUUAGCGGCGGACGGGUGAGUAACACGUGGAUAACCUACCUAUAAGACUGGGAUAACUUCGGGAAACCGGAGCUAAUACCGGAUAAUAUAUUGAACCGCAUGGUUCAAUAGUGAAAGACGGUUUUGCUGUCACUUAUAGAUGGAUCCGCGCCGCAUUAGCUAGUUGGUAAGGUAACGGCUUACCAAGGCAACGAUGCGUAGCCGACCUGAGAGGGUGAUCGGCCACACUGGAACUGAGGCUCGGUCCAGACUCCUGCGGGAGGCAGCAGUAGGGAAUCUUCCGCAAUGGGCGAAAGCCUGACGGAGCAACGCCGCGUGAGUGAUGAAGGUCUUCGGAUCGUAAAACUCUGUUAUUAGGGAAGAACAAAUGUGUAAGUAACUAUGCACGUCUUGACGGUACCUAAUCAGAAAGCCACGGCUAACUACGUG